rnacentral:rRNA from 1 species
AACGAACGCUGGCGGCAGGCCUAACACAUGCAAGUCGAGCGCGCCCUUCGGGGUGAGCGGCGGACGGGUUAGUAACGCGUGGGAACGUACCCCUUUUCUACGGAAUAGUCUCGGGAAACUGAGGGUAAUACCGUAUAAGCCCUUCGGGGGAAAGAUUUAUCGGGAAAGGAUCGGCCCGCGUUAGAUUAGAUAGUUGGUGGGGUAAUGGCCUACCAAGUCUACGAUCUAUAGCUGGUUUUAGAGGAUGAUCAGCAACACUGGGACUGAGACACGGCCCAGACUCCUACGGGAGGCAGCAGUGGGGAAUCUUAGACAAUGGGCGCAAGCCUGAUCUAGCCAUGCCGCGUGUGUGAUGAAGGUCUUAGGAUCGUAAAGCACUUUCGCCAGGGAUGAUAAUGACAGUACCUGGUAAAGAAACCCCGGCUAACUACCGUG